rnacentral:rRNA from 1 species
GACGAACGCUGGCGGCGUGCCUAAUACAUGCAAGUAGGACGCAGUUGCGAACGGGUGAGUAACGCGUAGGUAACUACCUAUUAGAGGGGGAUAACUAUUGGAAACGAUAGCUAAUACCGCAUACUAGUAGAUGGACCUGCGUUGUAUUAGCUAGUAGGUCGGGUAAUGGCCUACCUAGGCAACGGUACAUAGCCGACCAGAGAGAAGUGUCCGACAAACUGAGACUGAGACAAGGCCCAGACACCUACAGGAGGCAGCAAGAGGAAAUCUUCGGGAAUGGGGAGAACGCUGACCGAGCAACGCCGCGGGGGUGAAGAAGGUUUUCGGAUCGGAAAGCUCUGUUGUUAAAGAAGCGGUACUUAACCAGAAAGGGACGGCUGACUACGUGCCAGCAGCCGCGGUAAUAC